rnacentral:rRNA from 1 species
CGUUGUAACACCGGAUCCUGUAUGAUCAUCGAAGUUAAGCAACGUCGAGCGUGGUCUGUAUCUAUGUGGCUGACAGCCUGAGAAUACCAAGUGCUGUAA